rnacentral:rRNA from 1 species
UCGCGGCCUAUCAGCUUGUUGGCGGGCUAACGGCCCACCAAGGCAACGACGGGUAGCUGGUUUGAGAGAACGAUCAGCCACACUGGAACUGAGACACGGUCCAGACUUCUACGGAAGGCAGCAGUAGGGAAUCUUGCGCAAUGGGGGAAACCCUGACGCAGCGACGCCGCGUGCGGGAUGACGGCCCUAGUGGUUGUAAACCGCUUUCAGCAGGGACGAAAAUGACGGUACCUGCAGAAGAAGUCCCGGCUAACUACGUGCCAGCAGCCGCGGUAAUACGUAGGGGACAAGCGUUGCCCGGAUUCAUUGGGCGUAAAGAGCUCGUAGGCGGUUCAGUAAGUUGGGUGUGAAAGCUCCGGGCUCAACCCGGAGAGGCCACUCAAUAGUGCUGUGACUAGAGUCCAGUAGAGGAGCGUGGAACUCCUGGUGUAGCGGUGAAAUGCGCAGAUAUCAGGAGGAACACCAGUGGCGAAGGCGCCGCUCUGGGCCGUAACUGACGCUGAGGAGCGAAAGCGUGGGUAGCAAACAGGAUUAGAUACCCUGGUAGUCCACGCCGUAAACGUUGGGCACUAGGUGUGGGUCUCAACCAACGAGAUCCGCGCCGUCGUAACGCAUUAAGUGCCCCGCCUGGGGAGUACGG